UACGAAGGGGGCUAGCGUUGCUCGGAAUCACUGGGCGUAAAGGGUGUGUAGGUGGCGCCGUAAGUCGGGUGUGAAAUUUCGGAGCUUAACUCCGAAACUGCAUUCGAUACUGCGGUGCUUGAGGACUGGAGAGGAGACUGGAAUUCAUGGUGUAGCAGUGAAAUGCGUAGAGAUCAUGAGGAACACCAGUGGCGAAGGCGGCUCACUGGCCCGGUACUGACGCUGAGGCGCGAAAGCGUGGGGAGCAAACAGG
rnacentral:rRNA from 1 species